rnacentral:miRNA from 1 species
CUUAUGCAUUUGCCUUGCCCUUCUGAAUUACGCAUAUAUGUAUAUAUACAUAUAUUACAUAUAUAUGUGUGUGUAUAUACACACACAUAUAUAUGUAAUAUAUGUAUAUAUACAUAUAUGCGUAAUUCAGAAGGGCAAGGCAAAUGCAUAAG